GACGAAGGAUGCAAGCGUUAUCCGGAUUCAUUGGGUUUAAAGGGAGCGUAGGUGGCCUUAUAAGUCAGUGGUGAAAUCUCGCAGCUUAACUGCGAAAUUGCCAUUGAUACUGUAGGGCUUGAGUAUAGUUGCCGUUGGCGGAAUAUGACAUGUAGUGGUGAAAUACAUAGAGAUGUCAUAGAACACCGAUUGCGAAGGCAGCUAACGAAACUAUAACUGACACUGAGGCUCGAAAGUGCGGGGAUCAAACAGG
rnacentral:rRNA from 2 species